rnacentral:lncRNA from 1 species
UGAAAUGGCACUUAAAAAAUACCCUGUUACAUUCUGUUGUUACAGAUGAAAACACUCAGUUGUUUCUUCUGAACUCUCAGUUUUAAGACUGGAAAACUGCAGCCAGAGACUAUCUGUCUGUGAAGUGGUGAUGAAGCGAGAGACUUGAUUUGUCAAUACCUGCCAAGAAGAAAUCAUUUCCUAUUCUAACAGAAAGAUUAUUUACUCCUUUUAAGUCGAUAAUGCUGCAAAAAGGCAUGGCGUCCACAUAGAGUACAUGUGAAAGUCUGGACUGCAUGGCUUCCAAAGCAGUGGGGUUGUAUUUAUUAUUCCUGGUUUGUCAAGAGAGACAUUUGAAGGGAAUUACUUGCGCCACAGAACUGUUCAAUCUCCCUGAAUUAAGCUAUUAUGUUUGUUUAUUUCAAAAAUAGAAGUAUGUUAGUAUUUUUAAUGGGUAACCUAUAGUUUGGCUAUAAAGGGUUUGAGGCAUCUGUGUUGAACAUCAUUGCUGAAUGCAGUAUUAAUGUGCUGCUGUGGUAAUAAUCACACUGUUAUGGACUUUACUGGAGUUAUAAAUAUACAGUCAUUCACUACUCUUUCUGUUUAUGAAAUAAAUAAAAGGCACUGACCACUUCAAAUUUUGGCACUGAAUUAAAUACUUGAAAUCUGUAGUGUUCAGUUUCAUUACCCUGAGCCCAGAGGACAAACGCUUUCUCUGGAAGCCCAUGUGACAGAGGAAUGGGAAUGUGCUCUUGAACAAGCUGACCAUGGAUUAGGUUUGAGACUUUUGCCUGUUAACUUAUGCGUCAAAGUGAAAAAAGCUAACCUUGUUGCAUUUUUGAACAUGUAGAGAACAAAUAAUUUCCCGGGAAGAUUUUUUUGUGUGUCUGUGUAUUUCUGUGGUUUAUGGUUAACUUUAUUUAUACCAAUAACACUAGUGGGUAACUUGGGUAUUGUAGGUGCUGUUCUUUACCAUGGCUGAUGCAAAAAAGGGGGAGAGAGGAGCAGACUGUAGAAUGUUCUAAUGGCUUAAGUUAUGUCAAAUUACCAUAGAUAAUGCUAAUCAUAUUUUUGAAACAGUAAUCAUGGCUUGUGUAUUGGCACUUAAAUGGAAAGAAACCAUAGUGUUAAAAUACUCUUUUGAACAGUGACUGUAAUGUAGCAAUUUUCAUAAUAAAGCAAGAAUGAUUGGUCUUU